rnacentral:rRNA from 1 species
CGGGUAGAGUAAUGCGUGACCAACCUGCCCCAUGCUCCAGAAUAGCUCUUGGAAACGGGUGGUAAUGCUGGAUGCUCCAACUUGACGCAUGUCUUGUUGGGAAAGUGUUUAGUGGCAUGGGAUGGGGUCGCGUCCUAUCAGCUUGUAGGCGGGGUAAUGGCCCACCUAGGCUUCGACGGGUAGCCGGCCUGAGAGGGCGGACGGCCACAUUGGGACUGAGAUACGGCCCAGACUCCUACGGGAGGCAGCAGAG